rnacentral:rRNA from 1 species
CAAUAGCGUAUAUUAAAGUUGUUGCGGUAAAAAAGCUCGUAGUUGGAUUUCUACCGAAGAUAGCCGGUCGGGUCUUCGACCUUGUAGCUGGUUUUGUCUUUGGUAUCCUCAUAGGGAACGUUUCUGCGCUUUAUUGCGUGGUGCGGUAUCUAUGACUUUUACUUUGAGGAAAUUAGAGUGUUCACGGCAGGCAAACGCCUUGAAUAUAUUAGCAUGGAAUAAUAACAUAGGAUCUUCGUCCUAUUUUGUUGGUUUCUAGGGCUAAGAUAAUGAUUAAUAGGGAUAAUUGGGGGCAUCUGUAUCAACGCGUCAGAGGUGGAAUUCUUGGAUUGCGUUGCGACAAACUACUGCGAAAGCAUUUGCCAAGGAUGUUUUCAUUGA